AUGGUGGUAGCCGGUCCUGCCUCUGCCCCGGCCGCCGCCGCCAAGGCUAAGUCUUUGGCGGCGUCGAGGUCCCAGCAAUCGAGGAAGGGUGUACGGGGGACCAAGGACAUGAGUCGGUUCGAAAACACGGGCGCUAUCGUCGACUCUGACGUCGUCAUAUAUGCUGGUGAGGUUUCUGCUCGAUUCCUCCCCCAUAACAGUUUUCAUUCGGCUGGAAAUGCAGGGGACAGUGGAUUUUACAGCCAUGGCAAUUUAUGUAGUGGAUUUGCCAUGAAAAUCCAGUGGACAGUGGCUGGUGAAAAUGCAGUGGAUAGUGUAGGCCUGUGA
rnacentral:rRNA from 1 species